UAACUGGCCGCCGGGGGGCUUACGCCCCCGGGCCCGCGCCCGCCGAAGACACCCUCGAACUCUGUCUGAAGAUUGUAGUCUGAGUGAAAAUAUAAAUUAUUUAAAACUUUCAACAACGGAUCUCUUGGUUCCGGCAUCGAUGAAGAACGCAGCGAAAUGCGAUACGUAAUGUGAAUUGCAAAUUCAGUGAAUCAUCGAGUCUUUGAACGCACAUUGCGCCCCCUGGUAUUCCGGGGGGCAUGCCUGUCCGAGCGUCAUUGCUGCCCUCAAGCACGGCUUGUGUGUUGGGCCCCGUCCUCCGAUCCCGGGGGACGGGCCCGAAAGGCAGCGGCGGCACCGCGUCCGGUCCUCGAGCGUAUGGGGCUUUGUCACCCGCUCUGUAGGCCCGGCCGGCGCUUGCCGAUCAACCCAAAUUUUUAUCCAGGUUGACCUCGGAUCAGGUAGGGAUACCCGCUGAACUUAAGCAUAUCAAUAA
rnacentral:rRNA from 1 species